CCCAAGGUCUAGCCGAGUCCCUUGUACUUAUUGACAACUGCUCCAUUUUUGAAAUCAUUAAUUCAGACAUCCCCCUCUUAUUGAGAAUCCCUAUUCCUCCAGCUUUUUUACUUUUUUAUUUCUCCAUAGAGUGGGUGAUUGCAUACCACAGUAGUUAAUGGCAUAGUCUCCAGAGCCAGAUUUCCUGGGUCUAAAUCCCAUCCCUAUCACUUACAAUACAUAUAACUUUGUGAAAGCUGGUUAGUGUUUAGGGCCCUUAAUUCCCUCAUCUACAUACAGAAUGGAAAAAGUAGCAUCUCACUCACAGAGAAUUAGAGAUCUGUGACCCAUACAUUAAUAACAUUUCUUGAAUACAUAGUACGUGUCAGGCACUACUUUACAUGUUUUUAAAACAUAUUUUUAAAUUAAUUCAUAAAUUAAUUUAAUUUUCAAAGCAAUCUUGUGAGUUAGAUGUUAUAUACUGACUUUUUCACUAUCUACAAACUGCUUCUUCCAUUUUUCUUUCAUUUCCUUUUCAGGAUAAUUUUUGUUAGAUGAAAAUUUUUCCUUUACUACCUUAGGUUGUAAUGGAUGGGUGCCUGGGAAUUAACUAACAAGAGACAGAUUAACAGACGAAAAGACAACAUUUAUUCAUGUGCAUAUAGAAGAGCAUAAAAGAAGUGGUUUUCUGAACAUCUAGAACUAGGGGUUUAUUUACCAGCUUAAUAGAGGAAAUCAAAAAAAGGGACAUUUAGGAAAGACAACUGGGCUUUGGGAGAAUAAAUGAAAGGUAUCACCACUUGUGAAAAUGUUUAUGUAUGCAGUCUCUCAUCCUGGUACUAAUAACUAGGUUCCUCUCUAGGACAUUUAUGACAACUGUGUUUUUGAGAGGUAUAUACUGUCAGCCAAAAAAAUUUAGGUAAGAUUCAUUUAUAAUUGUUUAGGUUAAAAAAAUCUUCAUGCCAGUACAGAGAGCUGAGAAUCUAAACAUUCGAUGGUAUGUAUAUUUUUUGCUAACAAUCUCAAAUACCUCUAUGAUAUCUUUUUGUUGCAGCAGUCAGGCUGUAUCACAGCUCAGGAUCGAGGAGACGGCAUCUGGGGAGCACAUGCCCCUUCACGCCACCACUUCUCCAGCUUGAGGGAGAAAGAGGUUUCCUCUCCUCUCCCAUAUUCCCUCCACUGUCGUACUUCAUCUCAAAGCAGGACUACUGAACAGCUGGCUCUUCUAUGGAGGUGCUAAAUGUAGAUCAAGCAUGCUUUUUUAAUGUUUUCCAGUCAAUGAGAAGGUGAAAAGAGGGAAAAAACAUUGAAACACAAUUCUAAAUUGCAGGGAUUUUCCUAAGAGCAUAUAAACAAAAUUUAUAUUCAAAGGUAAAACUUGAACACCUGGAUGGCUCAGUGGUUGAGCGCCUGAGCUGAAGCUCAGGACAUAAUCCUGGGGUCCUGGGAUCGAGCCCUGCAUCGGGCUCCCUGCAUGGAGCCUGCUUCUCCCUCUGCCUAUGUCUCUGCCUCUCUCUCUCUCUUUCUGUGUGUCUAUCAUAAAUAAAUAAAUGAAUAAAUCUUUAAAAAAAGAUAAA
rnacentral:lncRNA from 12 species